rnacentral:rRNA from 1 species
GACCCGCACAAGCGGUGGAGCAUGUGGUUUAAUUCGAAGCAACGCGAAGAACCUUACCAAAUCUUGACAUACUCUUGAACAGCUUUGUAAUGAAGUUGGACCUUCGGGACGAGGGAUACAGGUGGUGCAUGGUUGUCGUCAGCUCGUGUCGUGAGAUGUUGGGUUAAGUCCCGCAACGAGCGCAACCCUUGUCGUCAGUAGCCAGCAGUAAGAUGGGAACUCUGACGAGACAGCCGGAGAUAAUCCGGAGGAAGGUGGGGAUGACGUCAAAUCAUCAUGCCCCUUAUGAUUUGGGCUACACACGUGCUACAAUGGCGUAAACAAAGUGAAGCAAGACCGCGAGGUUAAGCAAAUCACAGAAAUAACGUCUCAGUUCGGAUUGUAGUCUGCAACUCGACUAUAUGAAGCCGGAAUCGCUAGUAAUCGCGGAUCAGAAUGCUGCGGUGAAUACGUUCCCGGGUCUUGUACACACCGCCCGUCACACCAUGGGAGUCAUCAAUGCCCGAAGUCAGUGACCUAACCCACACUGGUAAACGUAAAGCUGGGAUAAGAAUACGAGGGAAUAAGCCGCCAGGCUUAUGAGUGAGUAUUCUUAUAUGAUAUAAAGAAUAGCAGUAANUUA